GGGGUUCUAGUGUGGUGCAAUGGGUCAGCGCGUCUGGUUGUUAACCAGAAGGUUGGCAGUUUGAGCCCCACCCCCA